rnacentral:rRNA from 1 species
AUGGCCUCCCCAUCCCCUCCGCCGCCGCCGGCCGCCGCCGACCAACGGCCCCACCACCCCCUCUUCGCCGCGGCCGCGGCCGCCUCCCUGCUCGCCGUCCUCUACCUCCCUCGGCCGCUCCUGCAGCUGCUCCUCUCCCCCGCCCCGCUCUCCUCCGUCCUCCUCCUCGUCUACCUGCUCCGCCUCGGCUCCCCGCCACCUGCCGCGACCCUUGCUCCUCCUCCUCCUCCGCUGCAGGAGAGAGCCCCGGAGGUCGCCCCGCCUCCGCCUCCGCCGCCGCCGCCGGCGAAGCCCCAGAGCGUGUUCCUGGAGCCGGAGUUCGCGUCGUGGGCGCCCAAAGGCCGCGCUCUGGAGGUGAUCCACGAGGAGUUCGAGGCGGAGUGGGGGCCGGAAGAGAUGGGCCUGCCCUGGACGUCGGACUCCGACUCGGACAGCUGCAGCGGCAGUGACGACUACGACGACGGCGGCGGCGGCGGGGAAGAGUACGGGAUGAUCGAGAUCGAGCUGGAGGAGGACAACCUCAUCGAGAUCGACAUCUCGAGGUGCCGGUGA